UGCGUAGGCGUCCAGGAAAGUUAUUUGUUAAAUCCUCCGGCUUAACCGGAGAAAUGCAUAUAAACUACUUGGAUAGAGUUUAAGAGAGGAAAAUGGAAUUCCUGGUGUAGCGGUGACAUGCGUAGAUAUCAGGAGGAACACCUAUGGCGAAGGCAGUUUUCUGGCUUAAAACUGACGCUGAGGCACGAAAGCGUGGGGAGCAAACA
rnacentral:rRNA from 1 species